UGGCAAACGGGUGAGUAACACGUAAAAAACCUGCCUUCAGAGGGGGACGAACAGUUGGAAACGACUGCUAAUACCGCAUAAGCCCACAGGUCGGCAUCGACCAGAGGGAAAAGGAGCAAUCCGCUUUGAGAUGGCCUCGCGUCCGAUUAGCUAGUUGGUGAGGUAACGGCCCACCAAGGCGACGAUCGGUAGCCGGACUGAGAGGUUGAACGGCCACAUUGGGACUGAGACACGGCCCAG
rnacentral:rRNA from 1 species